rnacentral:misc_RNA from 1 species
GCAAACUUGGUCAUUUAGAGGAAGUAAAAGUCGUAACAAGGUUUCCGUAGGUGAACCUGCGGAAGGAUCAUUAGUGGAUAAUGCAACUGGGCCUUCGUGCCCUGCCUUUCACUUUUCUCACACACCCUUCGGUGCACCCAUCGGGGUCGCGAUGGCGCCGCAAUUGGAUUUGCCGUCGGAUCGUGGUCCCUAUUAAUAUUAUUCGAACUCAAGUUUCUGGGAAUAAAAAGAAUAAAAAAAAAAACAGGCACAACUUUCAGCCAUGGAUCUCUAGGCUCUCGCAUCGAUGAAGAACGCAGC